AGAGUUUGAUCAUGGCUCAGGACGAACGCUGGCGGCGUGCUUAACACAUGCAAGUCGAACGGAAAGGCCCUUCGGGGUACUCGAGUGGCGAACGGGUGAGUAACACGUGGGUGAUCUGCCCUGCACUUUGGGAUAAGCCUGGGAAACUGGGUCUAAUACCGAAUAGGACCACGCUCUUCAUGGGGUGUGGUGGAAAGCUUUUGCGGUGUGGGAUGGGCCCGCGGCCUAUCAGCUUGUUGGUGGGGUAAUGGCCUACCAAGGCGACGACGGGUAGCCGGCCUGAGAGGGUGACCGGCCACACUGGGACUGAGAUACGGCCCAGACUCCUACGGGAGGCAGCAGUGGGGAAUAUUGCACAAUGGGCGCAAGCCUGAUGCAGCGACGCCGCGUGAGGGAUGACGGCCUUCGGGUUGUAAACCUCUUUCACCAGGGACGAAGCGCAAGUGACGGUACCUGGAGAAGAAGCACCGGCCAACUACGUGCCAGCAGCCGCGGUAAUACGUAGGGUGCGAGCGUUGUCCGGAAUUACUGGGCGUAAAGAGCUCGUAGGUGGUUUGUCGCGUUGUUCGUGAAAACUCACAGCUUAACUGUGGGCGUGCGGGCGAUACGGGCAGACUAGAGUACUGCAGGGGAGACUGGAAUUCCUGGUGUAGCGGUGGAAUGCGCAGAUAUCAGGAGGAACACCGGUGGCGAAGGCGGGUCUCUGGGCAGUAACUGACGCUGAGGAGCGAAAGCGUGGGGAGCGAACAGGAUUAGAUACCCCGGUAGUCCAA
rnacentral:rRNA from 1 species